GCUGGAUGCAAUGGCACGUGCCUGUAGUUCCAGCUACUUGGGAGGCUGAGGCAGGAGGAUCGCUUGAGUCCAGGAGUUCUGGGCUGUAGUGUGCUGUGCUGAUUGGCUCUCUGCACUGAGUCUGUCAUCAGUAAGGUGACCUCCCAGGAGCGCGGGACCACCAGGUUGCCCAAGGAGGAGUGAACCGGCCCAGAUCCGAAAUGGAGCAGGUCAGAACUCCCAUGCUGAUCAGUGGGAUCACGUCUGUGAAUAGCCACUGAACUCCGGCCUGGGCAACAUAGUGAGACCUGGUUUCU
rnacentral:SRP_RNA from 1 species